rnacentral:rRNA from 1 species
UAUUGAUUUUAUUAUAUUUGUUUUUUGUAUAUUUAUUUUUUAAUAAGAAUAAUUUUAUAGUUUGUUUGUCUUAGUAUAUUUUAUAGAAUCGAUUUUUUUUAUUAUAGUUUAUGAGUAAAGUAAUUGAAUUAAUUAAAGUAUAUUUUAUAUAUUGAAAAGUAAAUUUAAUUAAUUGUACCUUUUGUAUCAGGGUUUAUUAAAAUUUUAUUAUUUAUUUAUUUGUCUCGAUUUGGGUUGAUCUAAAAAUAAAUUAAAGUUAAUGUGUCAUAAUUAUUCUUAAUUUAUUUUUAGAGAUGAAAUGUUAUUCGUUUCCUAAAAUAUCUAGUUUCUUGAGAAAAAAUUUAAUUUUUUAGGGUUGACUUGUUUUAAUUUAAUUUUUAAAUUUAAAAUAUUAACUUAUUAAUUCUUUAAGGGAUAAGCUUUGAAGUUUUAAAAUUCUAGAAUAUUUGUUUUAUUAAUACAAUAGUAGGCUUUAAACCAGCUAUCUUUUGGGAUUGCGUUUUAGUUCAUUAUUUUUUAUUUGAUUUUAUAAUUUCUUUAGUUUUAUUAUUGAGAUUUUUAAUUUGAUUUUAAAAUUUUUGUAAUAAUGAUGGAAUUAGUAUAUUUAUUUGUUAAAUUUAUUUUUUUUUCUAAUUUAUUUUAAGGAAUUAGGCAAGAAUGGAUUUUCGCCUGUUUAUCAAAAACAUGUCUUCUUGUUUAUAUUUUGAAGUCUGUCCUGCUCACUGAUUUUUAAAGAGCCGCGGUAUUUUGACCGUGCAAAGGUAGCAUAAUCAUUAGUUUCCUAAUUAGGGGCUGGUAUGAAUGGGUUGACGAAAAAUCAACUGUCUCUUAAUAAAUAUUAAAAUUUAACUUUUUAGUCAAAAGGCUUAAAUUUUCCUUUAGGACGAGAAGACCCUAUAGAGCUUUAUAUCUUAUUUUAUAUAUUUUUUAUUUUUCUUUUAUAUAAAAUAAAAAUAUUUUGUUGGGGUGACAUGAAGAAUAGUAAAACUCUUCAUUAUAAAAUCAUUAAUUUAUGUUUUCAUGAUCCAUAAUUUAUGAUCAUAAGGUUAAGUUACCUUAGGGAUAACAGCGUAAUUAUUUUUGAGAGUUCAUAUCAACAAAGUAGAUUGCGACCUCGAUGUUGGAUUAAGAUAAAAUUUGGGUGCAUAAGCUCAUUAAUUAGGUCUGUUCGACCUUUAAAUUCUUACAUGAUCUGAGUUCAGACCGGCGUGAGCCAGGUCGGUUUCUAUCCUAAGAUUUAUUUAUCAACAUUAGUACGAGAGGACCAUGUUGAUAAAAUAUUUUUUGUUUAAUUGAUUAAGAUUAAUUAAU